rnacentral:tRNA from 1 species
AGCUCAACUGAAUAGAGCAUUUGACUACGGAUCAAAAGGUUGUGGGUUUGAAUCCCGCC